GGCAGUGUGCAUGGCAGUAUCGUAGCCAAUGAGGUUUAUCCGAGGCGCGAUUAUUGCUAAUUGAAAACUUUUCCCAAUACCCCUCCGUGACGACUUGCAAUAUGUCCUAUUCUUUAAAAAAA
rnacentral:snRNA from 1 species